UGCAUUUUUCCAUAGAGGUGAUUGGGAAAUUCUCCUAAUUUAGGACCAUUUUUGUUUUUCUUGUAAUGGUUGCCAGGAUGACAAACUUGUAAAAGCAUCACAGUGGCAUAAUCUGUAUGAUGCUACUUAAAGUUUUAGAUGUACACUAAAGUGCCAACUAAUGCUCAUUUUUCAUUGUUCAGAAUGUCUCCAUCGAAAAGAAACGUGAAUGCAUCCUGAAAGCCCUUACUGUCUACAUGAACGAAGACCCAUCAGACCUUGUGAAGGAGUGUAUGGAUGCUGAACAUGAUGACGUUGCAACCUCGAUGCGCAACACCACCCUGGGAAUCUACGUCAUCAUACAUCAAGGAGCAGAGGCUACAGACCCUUAUGAAGAUGUUGGCAUCAUCAUUUAAGAUGUUUUGUUGGAAUCAACCCUCCCACUGGCACCAAGACAGCCACAACAAAGGUUGGAGGCAAAAAAGUGGAAAAGCCUCUGAGAAGAGAAACAACACCGUCAACCCUCAUGUGUGUACCCUUCUCAGAAAAUUAAUGGACUUUGAAUGAUUACGCAUGUAAGUUCUUGUUCAUGUAUUAAGACCAAAACAUGUUUUGAAUACGCCAGUUCUGUGAAUGAACACUUGUUUCUAGACGUACAAGUUAUGUUAUGUUCCAACACAAAUUUAACAAGAUCUUAAAUGUAACACAAACCUUGUUUAGAUGUUUUAUACAUGCCAUUGUUUUAGAUAUAAUAUUCAGGAUUGAUUUGCUGAAACAGCAUUUGU